rnacentral:tRNA from 1 species
GCCGAUGUGGCUCAGGGGUAGAGCAGCUGAUUCGUAAUCAGCAGGUCGGCGGUUCGAAUCCGCCCAUCGGCUCCA